UACCUUUCUUUGUGUAAAUGUGUCUGUGAACUGCCCUUGCGGCAGCUGUCGGGUGGUCGCGCGUGUCCUGAACCAUAUUGGUUUCAGGAGGAAGGACUGAAUAGUGGCUGGUAAAAGGAAAGAGUCUUCGAUACUAGGGCAUUGCGUCAGGUCAUGGGGAUAUAACAACUGUAAAACAACUUUCAUAUUCU